UGGCACGCUAAAGUUCUUCGCAUACGUAUUUUCUCAUUUAGAAAGAACGUUCAAGGGUCAAAAGUAAAAGCAUAAAUGAUUGCAUGAAUUGAGGGAUAUGAAAAAUAUUUUAUCAAGCGUUCUUUCAGACAAUUUUUAUGAGAAAAAAAAUAUUGCAAACGAAAAUACAAACUCGUAUAAUUCAUUAGACUGUGCAUGGCUUGUAGACCAAUUAACUAAAGCGGCUCUUGAUGUAAGCGUAUCACGUUUUCGUGAAGGUUGUCUUAAAAAGAACUCGAUAGAACUGAAUGCAGUUAGCUUACCAGAAGUACUAGACGAGGAGAGUUUCGUUCAAUGCCUUUCUAAUUUUUACUUCAACAGAUACUGUUAAAAGGCCCAUUAACAUUAAUUGAAAAACGAUUAUAUUUUUAUCCGCAUGGUAGUUCUUAUAAGCAAUUUUUUAGAUUUUAAAAGCUUCAACAUUCACAUGAGUGUAAGUUACUUUUUUAUUUUAGGUUUUUCUGUUUGGAGAGAAACAACACUAGGGCAAUGUCUCUUAGACACAUUAGAAGACUUGUGUAGUGUUGAAGCGUUUCAAUUAGAUACAGUAAACAUUUUAAAAUGUUUUGAUUCGGUUAUGAAUCAACAAAUUUUAACUACAAAAGUCUUAGGAAAUUGGAAAAUAAUUUCAGGAACAAUAGAAAAGUAUAAAAAUUUAGAUGGGACAUGGGAUUUUUAUGUCUCGAAUUUUAUGGUGAAAAAUCGCCGACGUUGCUAUAUGUCAGAUUUUAUUCGUAUUGUCGCAGCGGAAAUACAAACUGCUUCAUAAACAUUAUAGGAGACUGUUGUAACAAGUAUUAAAAAAAAUUUCGUUGACAGAAAAGUCAAUAGAUUGUUAUUGUGAAUUCUCUUAUUAUUGCACAACAUGUGCAGCUUCAUUUUUUUCUCUUGACAAGUGAUAUUAUUCGUGAAACGUGAGUUGAGAAUUUUUGUGGAUAUAAAAACUUUAAUUUAGUGUAUUUAAAAACGUUUAAAGUGUCGCGUUUUAU